GAUGAAGAACGUAGCGAAAUGCGAUACGUAAUGUGAAUUGCAGAAUUCAGUGAAUCAUCGAAUCUUUGAACGCAUAUUGCGCUCUCUGGUAUUCCGGAGAGCAUGCUUGUUUGAGUAUCAGUAAACACCUCAACUUCCAUAUCUUUUUUGAAAUGGGAGUUGGACUUGAGUGAUCCCAACGCUUUUCCUCACCGAAAAGUGGCGGGUUACUUGAAAUGCAGGUGCAGCUGGACUUUUCUCUGAGCUAUAAGCAUAUCUAUUUAGUCUGCCUAAAAAACAGAUUAUUACCUUUGCUGCAGCUAACAUAAAGGAGAUUAGUUCUUGUGCUGACUGAUGCAGGAUUCACAAAGACGGCUUCGGCCGACUUUGUAAACUCGAUCUCAAAUCAAGUAAGACUACCCGCUGAACUUAAGCAGAUCAAUAAGCGGAGGA
rnacentral:misc_RNA from 1 species